GCUUAGCCUUAAACCCAGAUAGUUCAACUAAACAAAACUAUCCGCCAGAGAACUACUAGCAACAGCUUAAAACUCAAAGGACUUGGCGGUGCUUUACACCCCUCUAGAGGAGCCUGUUCUAUAAUCGAUAAACCCCGAUAUACCUCACCAUCUCUCGCUAAUUCAGCUUAUAUACUGCCAUCUUCAGCAAACCCUACAAAAAGGAAGAACAGUAAGCACAAGUAUCAUAACACAAAAAAGUUAGGUCAAGGUGUAGCCUAUGAGAUGGGAAGCAAUGGGCUACAUUUUCUAAAAUUAGAACACCCACGAAAACUCCCAUGAAACUGAGAGUUAAAGGAGGAUUUAGUAGUAACCUGAGAAUAGAGAGCUCAGUUGAAUCGGGCCAUGAAGCACG
rnacentral:rRNA from 1 species